rnacentral:rRNA from 1 species
AUUGAACGCUGGCGGCAGGCCUAACACAUGCAAGUCGAGCGGAUGAAGGGAGCUUGCUCCUAGAUUCAGCGGCGGACGGGUGAGUAAUGCCUAGGAAUCUGCCUGGUAGUGGGGGAUAACGUCCGGAAACGGGCGCUAAUACCGCAUACGUCCUGAGGGAGAAAGUGGGGGAUCUUCGGACCUCACGCUAUCAGAUGAGCCUAGGUCGGAUUAGCUAGUUGGUGGGGUAAAGGCCUACCAAGGCGGCUAUCCGUAACUGGUCUGAGAGGAUGAUCAGUCACACUGGAACUUAGACACGGUCCAGACUCCUACGGGAGGCAGCAGUGGGGAAUAUUGGACAACGGGGGAAAGCAUUAUCCAGCCAUGCCGCGUGUGUGAAGAAGGUCUUCGGAUUGUAAAGCACUUUAAGUUGGGAGGAAGGGCAGUAAGUUAAUACCUUGCUGUUUUGACGGUACCAACAGAAUAAGCACCGGCUAACUUCGUG